UUCCCCUAGUAGCGGCGAGCGAAGCGGGAAGAGCUCAAAUUUGAAAGCUGGCGUCCUUCGGGCGUCCGCAUUGUAAUCUAUAGAGGUGUUUUCCGUGCCGGACCGUGUCCAAGUCCCUUGGAACAGGGUAUCAAAGAGGGUGACAAUCCCGUACUUGACACGACGACCGGUGCUCUGUGAUACAUCUUCUACGAGUCGAGUUGUUUGGGAAUGCAGCUCAAAAUGGGUGGUAAAUUCCAUCUAAAGCUAAAUAUUGGCGAGAGACCGAUAGCGAACAAGUACCGUGAGGGAAAGAUGAAAAGCACUUUGGAAAGAGAGUUAAACAGUAUGUGAAAUUGUUGAAAGGGAAACGAUUGAGGUCAGUCGUGUCUGUAGGAUUCAGCCGUCUCUGGCGGUGUAUUUCCUGCAGACGGGUCAACAUCAGUUCUGACCGGUGGAUAAUGGCUGGAGGAAUGUGGCACCCUCGGGUGUGUUAUAGCCUCCUGUCGCAUACAUCGGUUGGGACUGAGGACUGCAGCUCGCCUUUAUGGCCGGGGUUCGCCCACGUUCGAGCUUAGGAUGUUGACAAAAUGGCCUUAAACGACCCGUCUUGAAACACGGACCA
rnacentral:rRNA from 1 species